rnacentral:lncRNA from 1 species
AUAAGUUAUUUGCAUCAUCUUCAAACCCUGGAUCUUCCCUUGUUUCCUCCUUUCUACUUGUGGGACUAGCUGCUCUUUUCUUCUUCACUGUUUUCUUCUGCUUUGAGAAGAGACCUUGACUGAAGAUGCAGUGCUAAACAUUUAACUAGCAAUAGCUGUGGUACAAACUUUUAACUAGAUUUGAAGCUACUUAUUGCCUCCAGGCACUGGUUUAAAGUUAAACAUACUAUAAUAUCUAAGAUAAUGGGGAGUAGAGCCUGAAAAGUAAGGCAAACCUACACACAAACUUCUGAGUAUGUACUUCUUUACUUCUUAUAUCUCAUUCUUCCAAGUGGCCAAGUAUUCAGAUAAAGAUCCAGGCCAAAAAAGUAAUUCAGUUACACAUGUGAUUAUUUCUUUUUAAAAAAUCACCUAAUCACCUUAUAUUUUUUGUUCCCUUUUUGAUUUGGAAGGAGCAUUGUAUUCUGGACCAGUGUUCUAAACUUGUUGGGAUCACAGAAUCAUGGAAGUGUAGGAAUUAGAAGAGACUUCUGGAGGUCAUCUAUUCCAACCCCCUGCUAAACCAGGUUUCCUAGGUAUUAGAUGGAUUAUACACUACCCAAUUUGUGUCAACCAAGGAAUGUAAAGAAGCACAUAUCUGAAGAAAACAGAAGGAGCUCCAAGAGCAUUCAGAAAUCUAAAAGUGAGGCGGAAUCGUGGUAUUUUCCCUAACAGGCUUACGUCAGUACAGCAAGAGGAAGUCUUUCAACAGUUUGAAAUAUAGACCAAUGCCUUUUGAGUUUAUCUGUGCUCUAUAAAAUAAGUAUUUCCAUACCUCUGAAUUUUCAGUGUAAAUAUUACUGUCAAGCACUGAGGAAUAACCUUUUCAAUGGGUCUAUACCUACAUGGCCAUGUCUACAUGACUUUUUUGUCUGAUGGAAAAGCUGUAAAAUCAGUAGCGUGGUAUUAUGGCCAGGUCAAUUUGUGCUGCUGGGGUAUUGCGCCUUUGUGAAGGGUUGUGUGAUUAUUAUCUUUGUCUUUCCAUAUUGAACCAAGAAAUAGAAUUGGUAUUCAUUGCUAUCCUGUCACAGACUCCAUAGCCUGUCUGAAGAAUCAUAGUAUUAUACAAAAUUAUAGCUUUUCAGUAUUUUCUAAGCAAUAUAAUAGAUCAAGAUGGAAACUCAUGCUGAAGUUGAAUCACUGUUGUCAGUAGCUGUUAGCAAAUUAAGUCUCUGAGUUGAUCAAACCUAAAGUCAAUUUCAGAGUAAGGACAAUGAGAGAAGAAAAAAAACCAAAAACCCCAGAAAUUCCUUUUUUGACAUGAAUUUUACAUUUAUGGUCAAUUUAGAUUUGCAACACAAGCCUGGGUUAGAAAAUUACCAAAGUUUACAAAGAGAUCAUGUUGCCCAUUGCCCUGCAGCCUGUUUUUGGGGAGUUUCAUAGUAUGAAACUUAAGCACAUUGUCUACAGGCAUUAAUGAGAUUUCUCAGAAUUUAGAGUGUGCAGCAAGGCCACUUCUUUCAUGACAGUGGGAUAUUUAAUUUAACUUCCAGUUCACUCUUAUUUUACUGAGAUUUUGGGAUUUGGUAGAGCACAAGUUCCUAACAGCCCAAAGAAAAGUUGGUGUCAGGUUAAGGCUUCACAGCCUGAGAAAGCUAGUGUCUACUUUACUUCUAAAUUGCCCAGUUACCCAUUAUUAACAUUAUUUGUUCUUUGGUGUAUUCAUAGAAUCAUAGAAUCAUAGAAUGGCCUGAGUUGAAAAGGAUCAUAAUGAUCAUCUAGUUUCAACCCUCCUGCUGUGUGCAGGGUUGCCAACCUAUUAUUACCUAUUUUCGUCAGCAGUGACUGUCUGGUCUGAUAGAUGCCUUUUGUUACUCAUGCAUUUUAAAUAAUGAAUAUAAAUGUACCUUUCCUGUGUACAGCCACGUAACCUGCUAUAUAAAGAGAUCCGAAGAUAAAGCAGAACUACCAGUUCAUGCCUCCACAACCAGUACAUCAGAAAACGUAAAAAGAGCAAGAAACCAAACAACCAAGGUAUAAACCUUAAGCCUUCAUAAUAUUGUAGCUUUGCCAAGCUGAGAGCAGACAACAUAUAAGAUGAUGCCAUUCUGACACUCUUUUCCCUCUGUCUUGGUGACUAUAGAGCUUGCAAGAGUCAGUUCUGAUUGGUUAGUAUUGUACUGAAGUAUGUGAGACUGGAAAGGUUAUUCAGGGAGAUAAUCCUUGUUUACUCUGAGCAUUACAAAAGAAAAAUAAAGUAAUACUACAAAUAGCAGGACUAAUGAAGUUCAAUUUCCUGUGCUUUUGUAUAUGUCCCAUUUUGUCCCAUGAUGGAGAGGGAAAAGGAACUGUGCAGAUUUUUUUGUGUUUCAUAUUAGGUAAGCUGCUUUAUGCAUGGUUUAUAUUUUUAUCUUAGUGGCAUCUCUUUCUCAGGGACUGUAUCAAAUGUUUGAUAUUUCAGCGCUCUCUAAAUCUCUAUCUGUCUCAUUUGGUUGAGGUUGAAAAACAGGUUAAAAAGUUACCAGGAAUAAUGUUUUUUACUGAGAUCUCUGACAUCUAUAUGAUGGCCCUCCUCUUCAUAAACACUGAUGGUCACGUGGAGGACAUGAUCUCAUAAUUCUCAUGUUCUUAGGAAAUAUGGCUAAAAAUACCACACAUUUCCGGAUGACUAAUAGGCUUUGCCCAGGCUACAGCUGUCACUGGGACAAGAAGGGAACAGAACAAAGAGAGCAUGGUCAGAAUAUGGCAUGAAACUUCCCCCUGGGCUUGUUUACAUGAGCACAAUUUGUCCUCCGGUUGCACCGUUAAUACAGAUGUUCCAUAAAAUAAAUGGUCUUAAAGAAAGGGAUAGAGAUUUCUGUUGGGUUCAAAGCAUUUGGACGCUAGCCAUGAGUGCAGAGCAACAGGCUUCAUGACCGAGGUAGAGCUAGGCACUUCUCAGUCAGCUUGCAGCAGCCAUCAUCUGUUGUGUUCCCUAUCCAGCUGGCAUGUGAAACCCGCAUGUGCGCAACAGAGCAAAAUGGCUGACAUAGCCAUGUGCUGAACAGGUGUCUUGUGGCUGUCUUGCUGGAGUGUGGACAUCACAUUUGUGCCCUGUAUUUGAGAGUAAACUGGUGCUACGUUUCUGCGUUUCUGUAAACUAGAAAUAAUGUCACCGUACUUAGUCUACCAUUAAUCUCCAGUGGCACACAAGACAAAAAGGGAAAAAUUGAUGGCAGCAGAUGACUCUGUUUUACCUUUCUGUGAAAGGUAGAAGAAACUGAGCAAAAAAGAAUUUGUGCAUCUUUCCCUAGGCACAGAUGAGCUUCCUAGAAGGUACCUGUUUGGUACAAAACAAGUUCAAAGAGAAAACAGGAGAGCAACAUCUUAGUGCCAGUAGUCUUGCUUAGGGUCUUCACAGAGCUAAAUGAUAUAUUAGAGAAGCAAAAUUUGUUCACAAAAAGAAAGUAUCAGCUUUUACAGGAGAGUCACAGGCAACUCAACUGUAAUGCAAGAGACAGAAUUAACCUGCUGUCAGUUAAAUCAAAGCACAGAGCCAUGUAACAUAAAGUACAAAAAAGUGACUUCCCCAUUAGGGUCUUACAGAGGAACGAAGAGGAUUUUUUAAUAAUGAAGGCAAGAAACAAAAGCACUAGAAAAAAAUUAGACAAGAAAUCCAUCUUAAGGUGCAUCUGUUCAACCAAAAGUACAGUUACACCUCUUGGGAAAGCUGAACAACUUGUUGUGAAUGACAGCCCUUGUAAUUAGGUGACGCAUUUCAAAUAUUUAGAUAUUUAAGUAUCCAGGAGUGAAACUAGCAUUUGAUGUUGAAAAACUUCUGGCCAUAGCUCAAUAAAAAAAUUGUUGAAGAUUAUUUUUCACUUCAGAGGCAGCUAAGGUCCAAAUGGACUAUACUUUUUUGGUUUUUGACAAUGAAGAAAUCUUUUGACCUCGGUGUUUUUGGGUAUAUACACUUAUGUAUACAAUGCAUAAGAGCAGGAUCAACAGUAUUCUCUUGGAGUUUUUGCUCCAUUUCACAUCACAAAAGCACAAUCUCACUACAUACCUGCCACACUUCCUCUGUAUGCUCCAGUCAUGCAUAUCAUAAUCGUCUUUCCAGCCUCAAAGGUAUUACUCUUCUAGGCCUGGGGUCCCCAGCACAAGAAAGGUGUGAAAGUUGAAAGAUGAUCAGAGGGCAGGAAUAGCUCUCCUGUGAAGACAGGCUGAGGGAGCUUGACUUGUUCAGCCUGGAGAAGAGAAGGCUUCAGAGAAACUUCACUGCAGCCUGCUUGAGGGGAUCUUAUAAACAGGAAGAAGACUGCCUUUUUACAUGGGUAUAUAUAUACAGGACAAGGGGGAAUGGCUUUAAACUAAAAGAGGGGAAAUUUAGGUUAGAUGUUAGGGAGAAAUUUCUCGCUCAGUGGGUGGUAAGAUGCUGGAACAGGUUGCCCUGAGAGGUUGUGGCUGCCCCAUCUCUGGAGGUGUUUGAGGCCAGUUUUGAUGCAUCAGAUGGGCAAUCUGAUGUGGUGGAUAGCAAACCUGCCCAAGGCAGGAGCAUUGGAAGAUCCCUUCCAACCUAAGCCAUUCUAAAAUUCUAUGAUCCUAUGAUAAUGAAACUGACAGAUAGGAGUGAUAGAAAGUUGUAUAGUAAUCUUUGUACCAAGUCCCACAGUCUCUGUCUUUCAUCAUCUGAAAAGCAUUCAUAGACUGCUGAUGUAUUUUUCAUGUUGUCAAAUUCUUUUCUUUAGUUUCUGAGAUCUUACAUUAGACAGCAUCUUCUGUGUCUCUGAUUUACUUCCCCUCUCCAUGGUGUAUCAGCAUUCACAGCCUCACAUCUCUUUAAUUAUGUUCUCUCACAAUAACCUUAUUGUGGCUAUAUGCUUUCAAAAUAGUUUUGUCCCUUCAUUCCUGCAGACAUAUCAACUCAAAACCACAGUUAAACUAUCAUGGCAGACACAGAUGCAAAUUCACGUCUAUGAUUCCUCCCCUCCUUUUUUUUUUUUUUUUUUUUUUUGUGUGUGUGUGUGGUGUACUGUUUUAGUUCUACGCUCACUACCAAUCUGGAGACAGUUUUUGUCUGGGUUUUGGGAAAUGGACAGGGUGUGGAAAUGUCACAGCUCUUGCUAUACAGUUUGUGGAAACACAAUGGAAAAAAAAAAAUGGGUUGAGCCUUCAAAGGGGCAAUGGAGCUUUGCUGUCCUUGUUCAGUUGGAGUAUUUAUGUUGCCUAAUAUCCGACCACUAAGUGUCUGAAUUCUUGCGACUCCUUAAGUUGCAAGAAAGAGAAAAUUGCCUCUGCAAACAGUAGUUCAUGAUACAUCCUGCUUUGAAUUCCUCUGAAGGAAUACAUUUAUUUCCAUUCAAUCUGGGGGUUGUAGGCGCCUUACUUAGGCAUGUAUGCUGCAGGCUUCAGGUCAGCUGAUGCAAAUACCUUCAUGGCAGCCUAACAGUUUUAAGAGCUUAUAGGUUCAGUUGUUUUCUUUGGCGCCUAGAGAGUUGGCUAGUCACACAAUGGAAGCCGCAUUCAUUCCACUCAUAGUGUGUCUGAGAUCCUAAGGUCACUUUUCUGUUCUGUGGUGCAAUUUGUCUGGGUGCAAAUGGUGCAACUUAUCCUUGUUAAUUGCAAAUUGUUUAGGCACAAGAAUCUGCUGUUUUGGAAUGUUGUGUAAGUUACAUAGUACAUAAGGCGUAACAAAAUGAUUACUGAUAAUAAUAGAAACACUGUUCCCAUUAAAUGCCAGAAAACCAGAUAUCAUAAUUAUAAAAAAAUGUAGAAGAACUUUUAAUUGAAAAUGAAGAACUGACAUGGUAUGAAAAAUGUAUGUAGCAGCAAUUCUUUGUGAUGUUUUGGAUGUUUUUGGGGAUAUAAGAAAUGUAAACUGAGAGUCUGCUGUUCUGUAAAUUGAUGGGUGAGGAGAAAAAACAUGGAACGGUAUCUCUGAAAUUCAGGAAAAGUGGUAAAGAGUUCUUUGAUCUAACUUCAACCUGCUUCAGUAAUUGUGUAUCAAUGUCACUCUAGUCAUACAGUAGGGCCUGAGUAAGUGGAAGGAAAUAAAAUAAUAAUGACGCUUUCAUCAUGUUCAACUUAAAAAUAAAAGUAAACUGAAAUAUUUUCAUUUUUAAUUGCCUCUUGGUAUUUAAUUUGAUUAUUUGAUUAAAAGAUUCUAGGUUGACUCUAAUAGUGCUGUUACUUGGCAUUAAAAGUCCUUUGUAGUAAUGAGAGCAGCAAAAGAAAUAUCACAGAAGGGAGUGCAUACAAUGUAAGAAGCUAGCUUUAGUACAGAGGUAGAGAUGAUUGUUAUGAAAAAGAAGCAUAUAUGAAUUUUAAAUGCUUGCUUUCUUGCCCUUGAGUUGAAUAAAUGUUUUCAUUGUAAAUAUUUAGUUGUAUAAAUGCUUCCAGUUGGGAUGCUUUUCAGUCUUGUCGCUUUUCUCAGUAUUUACUGGAAGUUUAUUUUUUGUUCAACUGUCUGCAGUAGACUUUCUAUAAAUGUAAAAUAGAUGUAGCUGCAAAAUCAGAUUCCUUAUUAUUCAGAUGAAUUCACCUGCAGGAGCAAUGGAACCGAAAGAUCUAUUCAAUGUGAGGAGUAAAAAAAAAAAAACAGAACAAACAAACAAACCAAAAAAAACCCAAACUAACAAAAAAAAAAAAAAAAAAGAGGAGGGGAGAAAAAAAUAUAGGAGUGGAAUUUCUGUGCAGCACAUCCACCUACAGCUGAGCUGGUCAGUGUUUUGUGAUGGCUGCUUCCUCUUUGGAAUGUUCUGCUUUCAGCUUGGUUUCCCUGGGAACGAUAUGUGAGAAACAGAGUGUUGUGCUGUCUAGAGGCUUGACAGUAUUCCCUUGAGAUACAAAUGUGUUCACCUCCAGAGAUAGAUAGCCGAUAUCCGUUGGCCUACCUCACAGAAAGAUUUAACUGAGCAGAAAAAAAGCUCACCAAGUUCAUCACAUGGCUCCACCACUCAGAUUAUUUUGUUUUUCUGCUUGGUUUGUAACACAAAGUUAUAAAACGAGGGUCAUAAAAUUCUAUUUUCGAGAUUAACCACUCCAGGAAAUACGCUUUUUUUAACUCCUAAACCCAGAAGUGAUUUAUUUACAAUAUUUGUUUUAGUUCCUUUUGCCAAAUGAAAAGAAUCAACAACCCCCAAAAAUCACUGCCAAUAGACUAAACUUUUCUGUUCUAGCUUAAGUAAAUAUGUUGGAUGUAAAAAUAAACAGAAUUACUUGCCUGCCAUUGAAGCCUUGUUAGAGCAUGUAUAGAGAGUGUUAUUUCUAAGGGUUUGGAGAAAACUGUUUUAUUUAAAACUACAUUCACUUAUGAUGCAAAUUUUCCUUCAAGUAACUUUUGUUCUCAUAAAGACAGGCUAUUCACAGUCAUCAGGUUGAGGUUACACCACUGAUUCCCUAUCCUACUGGUGCACAAUAGGCUCUAAUCAGUGCUAUAAACAAAGCAAGUUCCACUUGCAUCCCUGAAUUUACUGGAGUUCCAAGUUCUUGAGGCAGAGGUGCCAACAGAGUUACUGACGUGAUGAAUGAUGCUCAUGCUCAUUAAAUCUGUCACUAAAACCAGAGCUCCCUUGGAACAAGACUGUUGAUGUUUGUGCGGAAUGGACAUCUGAACUGAAAUGGCAAAAGCUAACUCUUCUUAGAUACUGAGCAUCCUGAGACCUGCUUUAGUCCCUAGAAGUUCUGAGUGAUAAAUACUUCAUGCAAGCAUUGAAAAAAGAUUAUUGCAAAACCUACUGAAGUCUAAAGACUAUCAUUUAUUCCAGCAGGCAUCAGAUCAAGCCCAGUGUGAAUGAGUAUCAGAGUAUGUCUACAUAGACUUUUGCAGGCAGAAUAGAAGUUUCUCGGCCCAAGAUUUGAGCCAGCUGGAUGUAUGACAGCUCUAAACUGGAAGCCAUGUUACUGCAUUUAGUGUGGAGCCCAAACUAAAGCCCCUGCUGAAAGACAGAAAAUAUCAAUUUGUGCUAAGCAGCGUGCUCAUCCAAGGAUGCGUAGAGUGAAUGCACAUAUGCUCAGAGUGCAGACAGAAUGAUUUCAUGCUUGCAUGCAAAAGACCACGUAGAAAAAUGUCCUGAAAGGGGAAAUGCAUCUAAACUCUGAUGUGAACAUUUAAAUAUUCUCCCCCGUGGACCUAGGGAAACUGAGGAAAAGAGGUAGAUGGACUUUUUCCUAACACAAUUUUUCCUGGUUUGUUUCUUUUCAGAUGGCGAGACAACAGAUAGCAAGAGAGGCCUGCAGAUAAAAAGAAAAAAAUAUUAAUUAAACUAAAUUCCAAAGCCACAAAAUGAUUGACUUUCACUGGCAUGGGCUUUGCAAUCCCCAAAACAAUACUUUAAAGUGUUUAAUUUUUUCACAUCAAUUUUAAUUAAGCUCUCAUUAGGCUGUUGUGCCCCUAGAAUUUGGCAGACAAAAGAAGCUGGCUUGUCCAACGAGUUUCCCAAGCUUGCACAGCUCUAUUCCUAAGGAGAUUUAUCGCAUUUUUUUCCUCCCCUUGAAAGAACCUUACAUGAACCAAUUCAAAUGAAAAACACAUGGACUAAAAAAGACUUCAUCAUGCCAGAUACCUUUUUAUAUCCAAAGCAGUGAACUUGUAGUCAGUUUGUCCUUUCAUGUGUUGUUUUUUCUGGCUUUGGGACCUAAGAAUGAUUUUUUACUACGUGCAGUAGUAAAACAACAUAUUAUGCAAUUCUAUUUUUCAAGGAGAACACUAUGUAAUUCAUAGGCUUUGCAACGCCACAUUUUCUGUUCAGAAAUACAUAAAGUGACUUAUUUUCCCCUUAUGGGCAGACAUCAAGAAAUUUAUAUUCAACAAAUGAUAUUCCAGCUUACCUAACUUGAUUUUUUUGGAGUUUUAACUAUUUCAAAAGUGAUUGCAUAAUGUAAAAACAAGCAGCUUACAAACUGCAUUUUCAUCUCUGCUGUUGAAGAACUUAGCAGGUGUGACAGGUGAAAACACAUCAUAACUUGACCUGAUCACAGCUCAAUGGAUCUGACAACAGAGAAAGACCUUUCCAUGAAGUCCACAUCAUGGAUUAGCAGAUUUGUUAAAAUAAUUUGUCAGAAAUAUACUCGCUGGUUUUGAAGAUGGUAACAUCUUCCAAAGAAAGCUUUCAUAACGCUUUUGGUUUCUUACAACCAGUCUACAAAAGAUGGGAUGGUACAAUUGCUAAGAACUUUCUAAAUAUUGAUGUCUUUAGCUUCAAAUAAACAACAGUAAUUCCAGAAGCUUAGCCCUCUAAUCCUCCUCUGGAUUUAUUUGUUGUCUUGUAUCUCUUAAAUAUACAAUAGUCAAUGAAUAUAUAGCGUCAUGUCUGCAGGCUCUCAUCUUGAUGGGUUAUUUUAACCACACAAAUAUCUGUUGGGGAAAACCAUAUGGGAGUCUGCAAGCAAUCCUGGAGACUCCUGGAGUGUGCUCAGUAUAACUUCCUGGUCAUGAUAUUAGACAAACUGGGAAGAGGAGAAGCAUUACUGCACCUGGUGCUCACCAGUGCAGAGGAGUUCAUUAAAGAAGUUAAGAAUAGAGGCAGUCUGGUCUGUAUUAACUGUGCCCUGGUAGAAUUUGUGAUUUUGAAGAUGAUGGGCCUGUUACAUUUGUCAGAAGAGACAGGCCAAAGAGAGUGCACCCCCUCUGAUAAGAAGGGAAAACUGGCCACAACAGACAUGGAGAAGGCUUAGAUAUUCAAUGAAUUCUUUGCCUCAGUCUUCUGGAG